AUUGAACGCUGGCGGCAUGCUUUACACAUGCAAGUCGAACGGCAGCGCGGGCUUCGGCCUGGCGGCGAGUGGCGAACGGGUGAGUAAUGCAUCGGAACGUGCCCAGUAGUGGGGGAUAGCCCGGCGAAAGCCGGAUUAAUACCGCAUACGACCUGAGGGUGAAAGCGGGGGACCGAAAGGCCUCGCGCUAUUGGAGCGGCCGAUGUCGGUUUGGCUGGUUGGUGGGGUAAAGGCUUACCAAGGCGACGAUCCGUAGCUGGUCUGAGAGGACGACCAGCCACACUGGGACUGAGACCCGGCCCAGACUCCUCCGGGAGGCAGCAGUGGGGAAUUUUGGACAAUGGGGGCAACCCUGAUCCAGCCAUGCCGCGUGCGGGAAGAAGGCCUUCGGGUUGUAAACCGCUUUUGUUCGGGAAGAAAUCCUCUGGGCUAAUACCCCGGGGGGAUGACGGUACCGGAAGAAUAAGCACCGGCUAACUACGU
rnacentral:rRNA from 1 species